CAGCAUGAUGGGUGUUUUCCACAAUCAAGUUUUACGGUGUGCCAGCAGGACCCUGUGUCCACAGGGACUCUCUGGGGAAGGAGCCUCUCCACCCCCCGAUGCUGCAAGACAACAGGAUGGUAUCGCAACAGCUGCAUGAUCUGCAGCUCUGUCCACUUAAAGCUUAUUUCAUAGAAUUCACUGAAGCUUUCCCUCUUGCUGAUAUGAGUAGAAUGACAGAAAAAAACGGACUUUUUUGCAACUUACAAACAAGCCUAAAGUGAAGACGGUACUUUCAUCUCUUUCCUCUUUUUAAGUGGUGAAGGCAAUAGAAGGGUAACAGUAUAGGGCUGCAAUGCACUGAAUAACAUCAAACAUGGAGCUGGAGCACCCUCUACGUAUCGCAAAUCAAAAUGCAGGAUUUCACCCUGCUCCUAAAAUCCUCCCUAUUUCUAUGCCUGCAACUGAGAGUCAGGCUGCAGUCUUUCUCCCCAGAAUUUUAACAGAAACCAUGAGAAAGGAAGCAGCUUUAAAGGCUUCAUCAACUGUGACCAACCGCCGUCAGCGGUAACCCGUGUUAUACAGGCCGCAGUUAUGACACCCUCAAAGGGCUGCCCCUGUGGAGGCGGGCGACAGGGAGGGGUUACAAUGGGGGAACAGGGCCUCAGAAGUUUCCCACCUUCCCUUGAACCACAGCCGCACACCCUCGGCAGGAGGCGGACAGGGCCUGCUUUGAAAAACAACACCUUUGUGAUCCCAUUUUUGGGGAUGGACCAUGGUCUGCAGAUGGCUCUUGAUACUCUCUGUGUGGAUGGAUGAAAAGAGAGAAAGGACCAGAAAGAGGAGGAAAAAAACAAACUAAACAAAGUUAUACAUGAUUAUCAAGUGUAAGGACAAUGAUACAUGGUUUUAACAUUUUUUACAAAUAAAGAUCAUACAAGUGUGGUGUA